CCGAGCGGGGUCGGCGGAGCGGGCGGGGGGCCCGGGCCAGGCAAGCCGAUGCUGUCACAUCGCUGAAAACACGCGGUGUGUGAACCCCUGCUGGUUUUUUCUUUCUUCAAAUUCAGAAGACGAUCGAUUUGUUUACCUGUUUAGUGCAGUUCCGGUGUGUUACGAAUGCUGCGGUGUUACCGUCCACUUCAUCUCAAAUACUCGCGUUUUAUGAGGUAAAAAGCAGCCUGAGACGGGCCCCAGAUCGAGGCUGAGUGACAACAGUCUCGAUGCUUAAUCUGGACAUGCAUUAUUAGUUUGGUUUCUUCUGUGCAAAUACAUUUAAUGUUCUUGUGGCUAUGUUUUAGUAUGUGUUAGAGGUAUUUUUAAUGAUGCUGUGGUAGCUUGUCAGUCUGAUUUCUAGAUGUAGGGGAAAAAAAGUAUAAACUUAAAUUGCUAUGUAUGGAACCAAAGUCUCAUGUUCCAGCUAAGAGUGUCUGACACAGUCCAUUACCCUUUGUCACAUCUCAGCAAUUCUUCCCAAAUUCUGCCCUGGUGGCUGUCUGUCCCAAGCUAGUUGGCUUGUUGAUUGAUUGAUGGAAGAGCACUAACAGGAAUAUUGAGAUAAAGGAGAGAUGACUACUUGUGUCCAAACUUAGGGCUAUUAAUUGUUCAUAGUGCCAUAUAGUAGGGUUGUAGUGUGAUGUAGUUAGUCCUGUUUGCUGUUUCUCGAUACUUGCCUUGAAAGCAGCCCGUUAUGGUCAAAUUAUAUUUUUGAAAAACCUUUGGCAUAUGUAUGCUUCCUAGGGUAUGUCAGGAAAAUAUUGUCAAGACUUCCUGCUUUGGAAAUUUUUUGGUCUUUGAAGAACGGUUUUUGUGACAGCUUUUGGCAGAUGGCUAUCAAAAAUGUGAGUAGACAAGCUGUGACUCCUUUAUGCUUGAUGUUUUGCAAGAGCUGGAGAGAAAGACUAGCAAGGAGAAGGUAGGAGCAACAGUGGUUGACUGCCUGCAGGUGCCUCAACAAUUGUGGAUUUGCAGUCUCACAGUUUAAUGUACAUAAAAGAACUCAUGAGAAGAAACCCACUGAAAUGCCAGAGCCACAGGAAAGUCUUGAACCAAUGCUUGUACUUUUGAGGCCCAAAAUCAUUAUGAAAACUUGCAGGAAAUUUGGAUUUGUUGUUUUAGUUCUCUUGAGACUUUUUAUUUUCCAUGGGUGUGAAAUUUGAGCAUAAGUGCGUCACCAUGACUGCACUUGUCUGACAGUUCUUAACUAUUGAUAAAAGCCACUGGAAGUUUUAGUAAGCUGUUACAGCUUUCAUGAAUGCUAAGUUCUUACAGGUAUCAUGAAAGUAACCACCAGAAAGGAGGAAAGAUUCCUUGCAGCAUAGUUUGGAGGAGAAUGGUCUGAAGAGCUUGACCUUUUCUGUUUCUGUUAUUUGCACAGCUGCUGGUGAAACUGUGUCUCGGUGUUGCAAUAAAAGGGCAUAAGCUCACUUAGUCGAGCACUUAGAUAUUAGCAGAUGCAUGUAAUGUUUUUUUGUCCCCCCAUGUAGUCUGGAAAUUGGCUUACUUUGGACUAUUUCUUCGCUUUGAUUCUUGUCUUAUCCUUCUCUUGUCUUCUGUUUUAAUUUUUUUGUUUGUUUUUUAUAUCCCUCUCUCCACAGUUCCUCUGUGGAAUUCCGUAUUCUGGAUUAGAUGUGACAUGAUAGUUAUUUGUGAUACUGGUCCUGCAUUUGUUAUAGAAACGAUGCAUGAAGAGUUAUCUUAUAUUAAUAUUAGCAUAUAGAAUCACAGCAUGGGUUGGGUUGGAAGGGACCUUAAAGAUAAUCUCGUUCCAAACCCUUGCCAAGGGCAAGGAUGCCACUCACUAGAUCAGGUUUCUCAGAGCCCCAUCCACCUGGCCUUGGAUGCUUCCAGGGAUGGGGCAUCCACAAUCUCUUCUUGCUUUAUGUUGUCUCCUUUCUUCUGUAUGUCCUUCCUUCUCUGUAUCCUUAUUUGUAAUUUUUGUUUCCGAACAUAAUCCCUAGAGGGCAGCAAAGUAACCAGUGCAUUAAGGAGGUGCAAAUUGGGCCAGUUUAAAAAUUCUCUCGAUGAGCCUAUCAGUUUUUCAUUCUUGGAGAUAAUGCUUUCUCCUUAAAACGUAUUUCCCAAGUCAUAGUUUCAGGGGGAAAGUGUGUGUUUGUGCGGGAGGGCAGGGAUCCUUGGAGUACAAAGUGGACUGCAACAGAGAGGAAGGAAAUUAGGGAGUGGACAAGUUGCAGACAAGGAAGGUGAAGCAGUUGCUUCUUCCCUUUUAGUGAAAUUGCUGAAAAGUAGAAACAGAAGUGCAAAAGGAAACAGCUUUCCCUAUCCUUUAAUUAACUCAGCUUAAGACCUACGUGUCUUCUGAGGAUGCUCCACAUAGGGUUGAGGCCUCUUGCAAUUUUUGUUAGUGUGGGUUCUUUUGCUAGUGUGGAAUUCAGUGCUUAAAACCAGACUCAGACUGGACUCCUGCAUAUUAUUACCUUACAGUGGGGGUUAAUUGACAGUGUAAACUAUUGAGUGGUGAGCUAGGGGAGAGUAAAGACUGUUUAUUCAGAAGAAACUAAAUUCUUAAAACUAGGUUUUAAUCAUUUAGGAUGGAAAUUGCCUCUAAAAUUGAGUCCAACCAUUAACCUAGCACUGCCGAGUCCAUCACUAAACCACACCCCUAUUUGCCACAUCCAUGCUUCUUUUAAAUACCGCCAGGGAUGGUGACUCCACUGCUUCCCUGGGCAGCCUGUUGCAAUGCUUGAUGUCUCUUUUCUGUGAAGGAAGUUUUCCACAUAUCCAAUCUAAACCUCUCCUGGUGCAACCUGAGGCUGUUUCCUCUCAUCCUAUCUAUCAUUACCUGUGAGAAGAGACCAGUGCCCCUUGCUGCAGCCUCCUUUCAGGCAGUUGUAUACAGCCAUGUAUAUUCCCCUCAGCUUCCUUCCCCGGGUAAACAACCCCAGCCCAUUCAGCUGCUUCUCAUAAAAUUAAUGCUCCGGACCCUUCACCAGCUUUGUUGCUCUUUGGUUGCUCUUUAGCACCUCUUUUAUGCUAUGCCCAUCUCACCUAUGAACUCAUUGCAUUUUAGGUCAAGGAAAGCAUUGCAGGUCGCAUGUUUGGCCUUUUUUAUCUUACGGUGACAGUUUCAUGCUUUCAGUUUUUUUGGAAGGAGCGCUUUGACAAUUUCCUGUCUUGGGAAUGUUGCUUUACAUUUAAAAUCUCUGUCUUUAAAUAUUUUUAGAAACAGGUCAACAGAUUUGUGAUGCUUCUCCAGAAAAAACUGUAGAUGGAUGAUGUGUGUUGUGUGAAACCCAAAGCAAAUAGGAUGACCGUGGCAACCUUUUAGCAAUAUCCAGCCUGGAAACUUGUGCUUUAAUGUGAAGGAUUGUAAUUGUUCCAUAACGAAAAGUAAGCUCUUUGUCGUCAUAAACACAUUAAGAAAAGCAUGCCUGGGAUCAAGGUAAUUUCAGAUAAAUUGCACUGCUUGGGGACUGUUCACACCUCUGCUGGAAAAUAUAUAGGUGUCAUCUGUCAAGUACUGUGUUUCUUUUAUAUUAAACACAUCUAGGCCUGCUGGGUGGUAAGUGGGAGGUGUAGGGUAGACAGGGUGAGAUUUAAUAGUUCUUUUAUAUUGAUGGUUGUUGCUGUGUUUCAUUCAGCAUUCUUGAAUUUUCCAAAGACUUCAUGUUUUAGUGGAACCAAUGGAAGAUGGCAGAUUUUCUACAGCUCUAGAAAAUCAGGUCUUCAGUUGCAGGCUGGCACUUAUUAUUAUUUUUGAAUUCUAUUCUUAAUGCUCUAAGUUAAAAAUUAGUAAAAAAAUUGUUCUAAAACUGGCCAUUAAAAUGCAACAAAAAGCAUUUGCUAACUGCCUUUCUACUGUCAAUAUCCCCCAACUGAGAUUUUUUCCUUUGUUUUCUUUCUUUUUGUAGUGCUGCCUUCCAGUCAUGGGUUUCAAGAGUUACCUGCUUUCCAGAUCUGAAUGGAAUUCUUCUGCAUCAGGACAGUUGGUAACUUAUUCUUGGGAGAUGGAAAAAGUUGCAGUUCCUUUGAGAAGUCUAAGGACUUCAGCAGUUGUAGACGCUUUUUCCUAUUAAAAUGCCUGUCACCAGGUAUCAUAUCAUGCCCCUCUGGAACCUUUGCCAAAAUUUGAGACUCAGACUGUGUUAUACAGUGUUAGUGGUAGAUGCAUUGCAUGGAGUGGCAAUGUUAGGACUUGGCACUCUGCUAAAAAUAGUAUUUUGAGAUAAAUUAUUUGUUGCACUGUAGGAAGGCUUGUUCAUGAGUGAGCAUAAUGGGUCAGUGCUGACAUCCAUCUUGCUCCCACUGCAUUGAUCCUGAGAGUUCUACAGAGGAACUGAUUUGGAGGUGGUGCCAUAAUCUCCAUUUUCUGUUGGCAAGAAGCCUAUUCUUGGUAUUCUAAAGAUUUUUUUACUCUGAAGUGUAAAGCUUGUUAUCUUUAAAAAAAUAAAUUCUUAUUCCUAUGGAUGUGUUAGGAGAACUUCUGUUCCACCUUUACAUAUUUGUAGACUUGUUUUAGUGACUUUCUACAGGUGAAUUUUACUGACACUGUAUGAUUAUAUUUUUUUGCUUAAGAAGAAAUUAUUUUCUCUUUUUCUUGACUGGAGGGAAAGGUGUUCCUGCUCAGCCCUUUCAGUAUCAUUGUUUCAUUUCUCUUCAAUUAAUCUAAAUAUCUGGUGAGCUGUACUGUUUGCAAAGAGAAAAGAGGUUUUCUGUCAGGUUGAUUAUGAUGACACACUAUGGGAAAAGCCUGAGUGUAGCUGACAAUACUGAAUUACAUAGGCAACUCAGUUCAACAGGUCAUUUCAGAAAAUCAGUUUACAGAUAUCAUUCAACCACUUAUAUUUUUGCAUACCCUCCUUAAAAGAAAUUUUGGUAAUAGCUGACAGUAUGUCUUCAAAUCAGAGCAUUGACAUUCAGUAUUGUCAGUGAAGAUUCUCAGACUGUGGAUGCAUAUCUUGUAUACAUGGCUGAAAUGGUAGCAUCUCUUUACAAAUAAUUUGGGUUAAGGGCCAGUUGUUUUCCCACAGAAGGGAAAAAAUAUACUGUAUUUGUUCUGGUAAGCUGGUGUGCUUUUACUUUGUUCUGUUUCACUUGUGCAUAGUUACCUAAACUACUUUUCAUAGGACUGUUCAACCGAUAUCCAAGAUCAGCUAAUUGAUACUUAAAGCUGUUGGACUUAUGUAAGAAAUGUAGUUUGGUUCUCCUGCAUGGUGUUUACAUUUUUGUGCAUUUGUUUGUUGUGGUUUGGGAGGGGUUUUGUUGGUUUUUUUAAAUGCAAAGCAAAGCAUGUGCUUUGAUUCCAGGCAGUUGGGGAAACUGUGCUAAACUUAGGCUUUACUCUUUCUUGUCAGGUUGUCUGUCACUGUGCUAACUUGAAGAGGUGAUCGUUUGCUGUGAGUUAAUAAUGUUUAUGCUCUCUCCUAUGAAUCUCUCCUCUUUUUCCGUCUAUGAAGCAACGUCACAAAAGGAACACACUGUGCAAGACUUUCUCCUUACAGUUAAUAGUACCAAACACUCAUUUUGUUGAGAAAAAUGCUCUUUAAAACAUACUAGAAUAAUAAUAAUAAAAAAACCAAAAAGCUCUGCUAUGUUACCAUUGUUGUGUGUUUAAUCCUGAAAAAGAGAACUUUGCCCCAAACAGCUUACAGUUUGUUUGGGAUCCAGCCAGUGUACGUAACUGGAAAUUGAAUUUCCAAUUAGGAAAGGAAAAUGAAGGGAGAAUUAAGGAAACGUCAGUAGUACGUUAACAUGGACAAGUAAUGUAAAAUUACUGUAACCCUCUACUGCCCAUGUUUAAGAUACAGUGUUAUUGCAGGAGUAAUCUUGGGGGAUCUGAAAGAAUUAAAUGUUAAGAACUUUACUUGAGGAAGAUGAUGUAUUUUUACAUGUGGAAAAAAGGUGUAAGGAGUGGUGUAGUAACCAGUAAUGGCAGCUUUUUUUGCUGUAUGUCUUGGGCCUUAGAUUGUCAGAAUAUUUCAUGCUGUAGCAUAUUGGCACUUUCUGCUAAAUUGUGUCCACUAUACCUUUCCUACCUGGCUUCUUGUGGUGUAAGGGUGGGGGGAAGGAGGCAGGUGUAAAGUGGAAAAUAACGCUGUCUAGGAUCAAAAGAGGGUCCCUGAUGUAUUGCAAGAGUUUGUGUUUCUGCUUUCUAUUUUCUUGUUUCUGUAGAAAAAUAUACACCGUUUCUUAGAAGUCCCUGUGUUAUGAAGCUGUGUUGGAUUUUGAAGGAGUACAAAUGGUUCUCUUAAAAGUAUCCUGUUAUAAAAGCCCAGCAGCUCGACAGCAAACAAAUCGAUGUGUCUGCAUCUGGAUCUUCAAGUUGUAUUAUACAAUGUUUCCAGGAAUUAUGUUCUCUCUUCUCCUGUCUGAGGCAGAUAUGACUACAUAAAUAUAAAACUGAAAUCUGCAAUUUUGCAUUUGAGGGUAUGGAUCAGUACAUAAAGAGUCAAUCUACAGUAGAAAAAUUGUCCUUAGAAAGAAUGAGCUGUUCACAAAAUUUCUGCUGAAGUGUUUGUUAAACUGAGGAAAAACAAAAGCUCAUGCCUACACAACUUCAGGGUGAAAAUGUUGGGUACCACUAGGACCUUGCUAUUGUUGGUUUCCACACAGUUUUUAGAAAAAUACCCACUUAACUUCACUCUCAGACAGUGCUUUAAAUUCUCUUAUUGCUGGAGAUGAUGUUUUUACUUGCUCUUGUAUAGUUCAUUGUCUUUCAUUUAAAUUGCAUCCCUUUUAGUGAAGGUUGCUUUUAUCCUCAGUUAAAUUAAGCUAAUUAAAACUUGAAAUAUGUUAUAGUCUGGUAGCCUGUUAUGUGGUCCAUUUGUGUUAGACACAUGUUGUUCUAAAAAACCAAAAAGAUAACCCAGAUUUCAGAGUUACACUGAGCCCACAGCCACAGAUCUCUCCCUACAGAUACUGCAGAACUGCCAAGGGCGUUUUUGAUGUAUGGUGUUCUGCUGAUGUUUAUUGUGUAAACAUACGCUUCUAACUAGUGUGUUCCCACCCCAUCCACUCAUUCCCUAAUUUCACCUUCCCAUGUGCCACAUGCUGUAUUUUAGUUUGGUAGCUGCAGAUAGGUCUGGAUAUUCUAAAAUAAUGUUCUGAUACUUCUCUGUACUGUGUGACUUCACAUAGAAGAUUUUGUAUUAAUUAACUGAAUUAACUGGUAGCUGUCUUUCCUUCACAAUAAUAGAUGGAAGCAAAAAAAAAAAAAAAAAAAAAAAAGAAGAAUGCUGUUCUACUUGUAUUGUAAAAGAAAUUAACCAAAAUUGAAAAAGGCAAGCUUCUCCCCCAGCAAGUAUGCAAGUAUUUAUGAGUGUUACUAGGUAUGAAUGUGAGUCCAGUUCUGAUAAAGACUGUGGAAAAAACUGCUUUUAAAAUAUGAUGAAAUUUAGAAAAUUAGUAAUUUUUUCCUCAGUGCAAUUGCUGGAGAUAGCAGUAAGACAAUAGUUAGAAUGAGCAAGUUAGUUUGUUAUCACUUUAUUUAAAUUUUAAAUGAAAAAGAGAAAAAAAAGGUGGUACUAAGCUAGUUACAAAAUCUGCCCCCCUUUGCCCCCCUCUCUCCUUCCCAGAUGUAUGCUCCACAGUUGUUUGGCUAUUUCUGCUUUUCCCUCCCACUGUCAAAGAAUGCAACAAAGUUAUGUCUAUGUAGAAAGCAAAUACUGUGAGUAAUGAUGCCUGUUGACAUUACUAAGUGGGAAAUAUGUCAUGAGAUGCUAAACUCAGGAAAAAUAUUAAAGUGAGAAGAGCUUAACCUGUUCUUUUUCCUUCUCUAUUCUAGGGGCUUGUUUUGGAGUAGAGGUUGAUUUCUGGCUGUUGAUAAACCGUCCAUAACUGGAAAAAGUACAAGGAGCUGGUAUGGUAUUCUUAAGGUAAGAAACAUUAUAGAAUAUGUGACUUCAGAGCAGGAAUUCUGAGUGAAUGUAAGGCAAAACCUAUAAAAUAUAAGCUCUGUGCAAGAAACUUACUCACUAUGCUGAGGAUAGUUUUAUGUUGGGUACCCUUUAAGAUGUGUUUCUUGGAGAGGCUGCUGGGAAAGAAGCACUAGCAGUGUCUUUACCACACUCAGCCUCACAGGUAGAUGCUUCUCUCCAGAAAGGAAACAAUUCUAAGACUGUUGGGCUUUUAAAAUUUACUGAAGCGUUUAGGCUAUGUUAUAAUCUGGGGAGUCUGGUUCAGUGUUACUUGGGAAUUCUCUGUAUUAUUACAUUCUUGAAAAAUGCUGUAUAGUAGAAUACAAAUAAAAAAAGAGGACCUGCUAGCUAGCACAAGCAUAUUCCUAACUAGGAGUUAUUUUUCUGAAUCUGGGCCUAAACCAUGUAAUUUUCAGUUUUAUUCUUUGGGCAGCAUGUAAUGAAAACCUAGAAUGAAACGUGGCUUUAAAAAAUAUUGUUGUAUUGGAGACUACUAGACAACAGUUGAGAGAUAAAGAUGCAAUUAGUAACAAUACAGUAAUUCAGCCUGCUGAGCUCCUUGCUACUUUACAAAAAACAAUCACCCAAAGCUAUGGGUUCCUAGGCUUAAUGUGGACAGGGCAUGCAAAUAAAAUUAUUGGUUACAAUUACUUAGCAGGUCCCUGCAUUGUGUUAGAAUUCAAGCAAACUCCAUCUGAACUACUUAAUUUUGCCUUGUUUUAUAUUGAUUGAGAGACACACGAAAUAUGAGGCCAGUAAAAUACACAAUAGAAUUGUUAAUAAAAAAAAAAAUCCCACCAAGUCUGGAACCAAAGAAACAGUGGGUAUUUUCUAUUUCUUCUCUGAGUAACAGCACCAGUGGGUCGCUGCCUCUGCUCUCAUAGUAGCUGUUGUCCCAAACAGGAUGUGUGGGGAUGUUUUUUAUGUUGUGUUCUGGGAGUUUUAUUUUUUUGCCCUCCCUAAUUCUGGAAAUCCAGGAUGCUUCCUCCUGUUGAAAUAAAGGGAGAUGGACAUACUGUCCAAAUGGGGAAAAAUUGUCUAUGCCCUUUUGAGGUGUUCUUUAAGAAGGAACAGUUCCUCCCUGUUAGCCCACACUCCAAAUGUUAGAUAUAUAAAUAAAAACUGACUGUGUACUCCCUCAUCAGUUUUAUUUCAAGGUUUUUUUUCCCCUCCCUUUCAGAACAUUGGAUUUUUUAAGUUAUUUUUUCCAUAAUUGUUACCCAUAAAAAGUCUGGAGGAAAUUCAGUCAUUCCAAAACUAGAAAAGUGUCAAUAUUUGUUUGACAAAUUUGUUAUGGCUGCUUGGAAAUGCUAACAUAUCUCGGUUCCUAGGUCUACAGUCUGCUAUGCAACUGGAUAUUUCUUUGAGUUUAUUCUAGACCCCAGAAAUAAUUGGACCUUUAGGAACCUAAGGCUGAACUUUACCAGUGUCUUGAGAUAGUGUAGAAAUAAAUGGAACAGUUUCAGUAAGAUGCACAGGUAUCUUCUCAAAUUCUUUCCUUUUGAUGGACAUGUGCUUGUUAAACUACUGGCUUGCUUUAGUUUCAAGGACUUCUGUUUUUUAUUGCUCUUCCUACAAAUAACAAAGUUACUCAUGAGCAACCAAGUAUUCAUGGAUGUUUUUACUUAACAGGAGGCCUUUGCCUGCAUUCCUUUGGGGUAAGAAUUUGUACAAUAAUGACCACUUUAUUGAUUUGAAUGUAAAAAUAAAUAAAUAAAGUUCCAAUUCUUUCUCCAUCGAGUUGGAAUUCAGAUUUUUUUUUUGUUUGUUUAGUAUCUGUAUGGCAGUGUAACGUGUAUUACCUUCUGUAUUUUGUUAUUCUAUCAAUUAUUGUAUUUUGUUUUCAGAGGUGGUGGUACUUUGUAACUGUGCUAUGAUUCUUGGUUUUGACAGUUUAUUUUUUGCAAAGAGCAAAAGGAAACGUACAAAGCAGAGAAUAAAUAAAAAAUACCUUAAAUAAACCAGUUAUUUUAAAUAUAAGCUAGUUAAAUUCUUAGCCUAUGUGAUGUCCCUAACUACUCCUAAUGUUUCUUUAUCCAGUUGAUGCUGUGACAGAGAAAUGACAAGUCCCAAAGUGCUGGCAGAGUCUAACAGCAGAAGCCUUGUGCAAGUUUGGAAUAACUGGGUUUGUCCAGACUGCAAGGCAACAAGAGCUGACAGAUGAGCAUUACAGCAACUUUUCAUGCAUUUGAAAGCUUGCAAAAGGGUUGGUGAUUUUUGUGACUGUAGAAGGAAGAGUUGUUACUGUCUUCAAAGGCCAGAUGACUUAGUGGCAUUUUAGGAAAAGCUUUCUCACAAGUUUUGUUAGACGUUGGAACAGAUUGCCAAGAGACUCUAAUGGCUGACAAAGUUUAUAAAGUUACCUUAGUAUCCCUUUAGGGUGAGCCAUGUGACAAAGUGAAAGAAGUGAGCUCUGUCCAGUUCCAGUGGUUUUAUUUCAUAGAUGCUGUGGGGUUAAGUGACUUUCCCAUAAAUUAAUUCUUGGAACUGAUGUUUUCAAGGUGUUUGUGUGUAUGAACACUGGAAGGUGACAGUCAUGUUAGUAAAUGGGUUGAUGUAAACAAAGGCUGCUGCCAAAGAGGGAGGUGUCAUAGCUGCCCUUUUCAGGCUGGUUUUUAGUUCAGUGGGGUGACAAUUAUGCACAGCUUAGACAAGGCAAAUCUGUCCCUUUUGCAGCAGCAGCUGCUCAGUGUGACCAUGGAACAGGAGCUUAAGGCUCUGCAGCUGAGGGAUGGUCACUGGGGUGAGUGAUGCUACCUGUCCUGACCUAGGGCCUCAUUCAGGAAAGAGCAGGCUGAAAGAGCAACAUAAUGCAAGACAGCUAAAAGUCUUCUAUAGCAAGUUAUCCCCUUUUAUAUUGACUUUAAAUGGAAGUGUUAGUUAUUUUGUUCUGCCUGGUAGGCUUUAGCAAACAUGCAAAUUAAGCAACUCCAGUUUUCAACUUUGAAAAAAAUGAUAGCUGGAGAGAGGUAACCCACUAGUAAUGAAGUCAGACAGCAUAUGUGUUCUGCUCCAAGUGGGGCUUUACAUCCAGCUCUGCAUCAUUUGCAAAAUUUACCAGUGAUGGUGAGAAAAUAAGUAUAGAAUUCAAAAUAAUCACAGUAAAAUAUUAUCAGUGUCCCUCUGCUCUAGUGGUGAGAAAUUUGUACUGCCAGCAAGAAUCAUAUUUUGCAGGGGGGAGAAAGUCUAAAGGAGGUAGAAGAUACAGGAGAAAUCUCCCAUUUGUUAUUGGGUGUAUCAGAGAUGGAGUUCAUUUUCCCCACAGCAGCCCCCAGAGCUGUGCUGUGCAUUGGCAGCUGUCAAGGUGCCCAUAAAGACACCAGCGUUUUGGCUGCUGUGAGCAGCACUGGCACAGAACCAGCACUGUCACUCCAUCAUCUUCCCCUCACCAGGAAGGUGGGGGUGGGCAAAAUCUUGGGAGGGGAUAUAACCAGGCCGGCUGACCCACUAACCAAGGGAUAUUCCAUACCAUGUGGUGCCUGCUGAGAUACAGAAGCUAAGGAGAAGGAGGAGGGAGGGGGGAUGUUAUUUACAGUGUUUAUCGUCCGGAGCAACUGCUGUGUGUGCUGAAGCCCUGUGUCCUGGGAUGUGGCAAGGCAUCACUCACUGAUGGAAGUAUAUAAUAAAAUCUUUGGUUUUUUCCUUUGCUUGUGUGCA